UACGUAGGGGGCUAGCGUUGUCCGGAAUCAUUGGGCGUAAAGCGCGUGUAGGCGGUCCGGUAAGUCCGCUGUGAAAGUCGGGGGCUCAACCCUCGAAUGCCGGUGGAUACUGUCGAGCUAGAGUGCGGAAGAGGCGAGUGGAAUUCCUGGUGUAGCGGUGAAAUGCGCAGAUAUCAGGAGGAACACCUAUUGCGAAGGCAGCUCGCUGGGACGUAACUGACGCUGAGACGCGAAAGCGUGGGGAGCGAACAGG
rnacentral:rRNA from 1 species